rnacentral:RNase_P_RNA from 1 species
CAGGCAAGUAAGGUGAUUGCCCGAUCUCAUAAUACCGAGGUUGGGAGGAAAGUCCGAACACCGUAUGUUUUUUUAACAUUCAUGGGCAGUCGAUAACGUCGACCAAUAUAAACAGGUGGAAAUUACCUCUCGCGAGAAAUUUUCAUUUGUGAAAUUUAGGGAAAGUGCCACAGAGACAAUACUAUCCGUCAGCCGACGGAGAAACGUGAAAAGUUGAGUGAUGUUUUUCGCCAUCUGGCGGAAAGCUACACUCAUCUCCUGCUGGUGACAGCAGUGAGUGGUAAACCCUGCCCGGUGCAAGGCCAAGAUUGGUAGGCCGCUUGACUCCAUUGGCAACGAUGGGGCUAGACAGAUAAUCAUCCUCCGAUUUAUCGGAGAACAGAAUUCGGCUUAUUUGCUUGCCUGAAUA